UACGAACUGUGCGAACGUUAUUCGGAAUCACUGGGCUUACAGGGUGCGUAGGCGGCGAUGCAAGUCAGGUGUGAAAGCCCACGGCUCAACCGUGGAACAGCGCUUGAAACUGCAUUGCUUGAGUGAGCUAGAGGUAUGCGGAACUUCCGGUGGAGCGGUGAAAUGUGUUGAUAUCGGAAGGAACACCAGAGGCGAAAGCGGCAUACUGGAGCUUGUCUGACGCUGAGGCACGAAAGCCAGGGGAGCAAAC
rnacentral:rRNA from 1 species